CGACUCUGGUUUCUCUUCAUUACGCACAAGCCUUUCGCCUUUUACUAAAGACUUCCGUGGAGAGGAAUACUUCCGAGUUCAAGGUAUUUUUGGAGGAGUUUUGCUUCUUGCAGAGCC